CCUACGGGAGGCAGCAGUAAGGAAUAUUGGUCAAUGGACGCAAGUCUGAACCAGCCAUGCCGCGUGAAGGAUUAAGGCCCUCUGGGUUGUAAACUUCUUUUAUAGGGGACGAAAAAAGGGCAUUCUUGCUCACUUGACGGUACCCUAGGAAUAAGCACCGGCUAACUCCGUGCCAGCAGCCGCGGUAAUACGGAGGGUGCAAGCGUUAUCCGGAUUUACUGGGUUUAAAGGGUGCGUAGGUGGGUUGGUAAGUCAGUGGUGAAAUCUUCGAGCUUAACUCGGAAACUGCCAUUGAUACUAUCAAUCUUGAAUCAUCUAGAGGUAAGCGGAAUAUGUCAUGUAGCGGUGAAAUGCUUAGAUAUGACAUAGAACACCAAUUGCGAAGGCAGCUUACUAUGGAUGUAUUGACACUGAGGCACGAAAGCGUGGGGAUCAAACAGGAUUAGAUACCCUGGUAGUCCACGCCCUAAACGAUGGAUACUCGACAUUUGUGAUAUACUAUAAGUGUCUGAGCGAAAGCAUUAAGUAUCCCACCUGGGAAGUAACGACCGCAAGGUUGAAACUUCAAAGAGUUAGUUAGGCGUGAGAGNGCGACGACGACGACGAGGAGGAGGAG
rnacentral:rRNA from 1 species